UGCGGAGGAAAGAGAUGAUAGAGAAACUGGUUUGGGCUUUCGCCGGCGGUGACGACGAAUGAUUGAAUGAAUGAGCUGUGGCAAUGGCGGCAAAGGGUUUUUCUACUUCGCAAAGGGUUUAUGCUUAAGUUGGGCCCUUUAUAAACCGGUUUCGGCCCUUUUGGGAUAUGCUUAUGAAAACAUAUUUCUUGGCAGUUUCAUUCUGCACCACUACAUUCUUCUUCCUACACCCCCAUAAGGUUGAGCAAAGACAAAAGUGUCCCUAUAUAAAUUGUACAUUUUUUUGUAUUACAGAUUAUGAAAUCCGGUAAAUUUUCGGUAAUCUCACGGAUUAAUGCUUUCGGUAGUACAUGAAUAGUAGUGUUAAUCCAAAAUAAAAAAUGCAAAACAUUCAUAAUUGAAAAACCAUUCCGGAUCCGUCAAUCUGUAAUUCAAAAUAUUAUCCCUAAGGAGGGUUUUCUACCGAGAAGGUUUUAACGAGGCACUUUAAAUUACCAACAAUGGUCAGAAAUCAAUUAAUUCAUUAACCGUUCGUUCGGCCAGAAUAUAUAACUAAAGUUAUCCGAAUUAUAACUUAAACGUUAUUCACCAACAUUGGUCAGGAAUUCAAUUAUUAAUAAACCGUACGUUCGGACAUAAUAUAUAACUAAAGUUAUCCGAAUUAUAACGAAGCGUUAUUCACCAACCUUGGUCAGAAAUUUAAUUAAUUUAUUAAUAAACAGAUCGUUCGGUCAGAAUAUAUAACAAGUUAUCCGAAUUAUAACUUAAACGUUAUUCACCAACCUUGGUCAGAAAUUUAAUUAAUUUAUUAAUAAAGCGUGAGUUCGGUCAGAAUAUAUAACAAGUUAUCCGAAUUAUAACUUAAACGUUAUCACCAACCUUGGUCAGAAAUUUAAUUAAUUUAUUAAUAAACAGUUCGUUCGGUCAGAAUAUAUUAUCCGAAUUAUAACUUGAACGUUAUUCACCAACCUUGGUCAGAAAUUUAAUUAAUUUAUUAAUUAACCAAUCCUUCGGUCAGAAUUUGUAACUAAAGUUAUCCGAAUUAUAACUUAAACGUUAUUCACCAACCUUGAUCAAAACAUGCGACUCAUAACCUAAGUGGUUAGCCGCUCGUCCGCCAACCUUGGUCAGAAAUUAAAAAUUAAUAAUCAACCAUUCGUCCAGUCAGAGCAUGUGACUUGGGUUACAUGAAUUGUAACUUAAACGUUAUCUACCAAACUUGGUCAGAACAUACAAUUAGUAACUUAAGUGUCGUCCGAGCGCAUAACUUCUAAUACUGACAUGAUACGUUCAAAAACAAUAGAAGUGCGCGGAAAAAAGCAAGAACUAAAAGCAGUUAAAUUGUUCAAACGCCCACAACCCGGGUCCAGAUAUUUUCACAAAUUAUACUAUCUCGAUGGCUUCAUCCUGCUGCGGAGCCUCCGACACAAUUUCUUCACGAUUCUGACGUUCGUCCUCCGCCCCUUCUGCCUCCUCACCCUCUUCGCCCCCAAGAGGUACUAGGCGGCCAUCCACCACAUCCAUACCCGGGUCGUAGCGGUCAUCAUCAGUCGGCACACCAUGGAAGAAAGCUACCUGACGAACGCCCUGAUUAAAACUCUCUUCACUUACACGCAGCAUAAAACUUUGGCAUUGUUCGAUUUCGGCGGUCAAAGACUCCUUUUCAACCAUCAGACCAUCUUUUUCUCUCUUUAAAAGAUUUCGUUCGGUCGUCAUUUCAGCCAAAGCGGUUUUCAAUGCUUCUUGCUCUUCCUUCGCAAGCCGGAUAUCUUUCUCCCUCUCCCUUUGGCAUUCUUCAACAGACUUCAAGGCUCUCUUCAAAGAAGUGGCCGAGUCGUCAAGCUUCCGCUUUAACUUUGGAAUCACGACCGACUCAGCCCUCUUCAACUCCUCACCAAUAGCAUGGCUUACAACCGCUGCCCGACACUGAAGUUCUACCAUUUCUGUAAUAAGGUCCAAAGUCGGGACGGCAGCCAAGAUCCCCUCGUCCUCUGGUCGCAGAUCAAAUUGCAUGGUGGGGGCAACUCGUAUCCCAACUCCCAACAUGCUGAUGGGUUUGCCUCCAGAAGAAGAGCCCGCCUCGAUUCUCGGCACCUUGGUCGGACGGCCCCUCUUCUUAUUCGCAACUGGAGCAACAAUAGCAGUCUCGGUCGGCUCCUCCCCGAUGACAGCAAUUGGGGAUUUCGGUUUCACACCAGCAAUAGCAGCAACCUUGCUCUUCUUCGCUUGUCUUUUCAAGCUGUUCAUGAACUUACUCAAACUUGGAUCCAUUGUUACGAGAAUAUCUGCAAAACACACACAGUUAAAUAAGUGUCAAAUAUCAAAUCGAACUAGCGAAGGGCAAAGAUGCUCACCGUUCAGAUCUGCCCAUUGCUUGGACGAUCCAUAAAGACCUAUCAGUUCCCGAGUGGGAAGUCUACACGGCAAUUGGUUUAUAAUCAUCAAAAUCUCCUGAUCAAUAGGGGAUAAAGAUUCCCAAAAUCGAUUUUCAAGCGUGGCAGGUUUCUCGGUCCAAUGAAAGGGAAAUUUGGUAGUCCCAUCAGCAUUAUAGAAAAGAUCUCGGCCGUUCGGCUCCACAAAAACUUUAAAAUAAUAGUCUUUGAAAUUUUUGUAAGAGGAGGUAAACGCAGCAAAACGCACAUUACCCGGACGACUGGAUAGGGAUAACCAACCCACAGGAUGGCUGGGAUGAGUAUUAUAGUAGUACAAGAAGGACUCAGGAGUCGGCGUAAGGCCAAAAAUUUGACAGAUAACCCGGAAGGCUUGUAAAAUGGCCCACGAGUUCGGAUGUAGUUGGGUUGGUGCAACAUUAAGUAUCCGAAGGAUAUUCAUGGUAAAAUCAUCAAAGGGGAAAGAUACGUACAAAUGAGAAAAUAAAGUGCUAUACACGAAGAAAAAGUCAUGCGGAGAAUUUUCCCGGCCGUGACACACACGGUCGGUGAUACCGCAUAUAUCGACAUAGAACGCCUCUGCCGGACAAUCUGGUGUUAAAAAGUUUUUAUGGACAGCAAGAAAUUCAUCUAAUUUAUCAGAGGACUUUAUUUUACUAGGAAUCCUAAGGACGGCAGGAUCGACCCAGUCAUACGUUGGGCCAUCCGAUGCCUGACUCGCACCGCGAGUCAAAGACGAACCCACAACACUAGAAGACCCCUCUGAAGAAGGCAUGACUAACCUUGAAUCGAAGAAGACACCGGCAACAAACUCAGCACCUGGCAAACGAAGCAAGCGACGUGAAACUCAGAGCAAGAGAAACGGAAAACCCUCAACUCCACAAAUGAAGCACUAUUUAUAGGAGAAGCAAAAUCCCUACGUUCGUCUAGCACCAUUAGAUCAAAUCUAAUCUAACGAUCAAACACGCUCGGCAUAUGAAACGGCACGUAAUCCCUACCAUUCAAUCGUUCUAGAUGUGACAGCAUCCCCAAACGGCAACUCUGCCAUGCGUCACAUCUCUGCCACACAUUAAUGAUGCCAGCUAUCAAGCAUUGUCUCAAAAACCCUCUGCGUCUCAUACGACUCUUCGUUCUUCCAUGACUUCGACCCUGGGGGGCAAGUGUACCGGUCGGCACCGGACGACCUCGUUGUUCGAAGUAAAUUAUCUAAUUAAGCAAAGAACGUGGUUACACGUGGGACAAACGGUUACAAUUCCCACUGAGCAACAAACACACGUGAGCACUCCCUGGAUUUUCGGGAACACCCCCUAGAUCCCAGGAAACCAUCUAACACGACCCACGACCCAAGGACCACAAAACAGGUCGCGAACCACUAACGACCCGGAGGGCCCAAGCCGAAGGGGACAUACAAAAGAAGAGAAAGAAAGAGAGAAAGGUAUGUUUUUCAGAUUAUCAAGGAUUCUCACUGAGAGAGAUUACUAACUUGAGCGUCGGAGCACAAUCGCAGGUACCCCCACCGGCCGACCGAGGCACGCGAGGAAGAAUGAAACUCGAAGGACAGGACAACUAAGACUGAAGCAGACACUUUGUAUCGACGUGGACCAACAUUACUCAGUCCCCAAUAUCCAUACAGGUACAUGACUUGAACGUCAGAAUGUUUUUACAGAUAUUAUCCGAGUUUGGAGCUCAAGAAGUCGAAAAGUAAAGGAGUUAAAGAAGAGUACAAAGACGUUAUGUGAAAAAGAUACCGACUGAGAAAAGACAAUCCUUCUUUUUCUUAAAACCAGUUGAAUUAUUAAAGUAUGAUCCUUAGUUUGCUUCUUUUUUUCAUUGAACUCAGAUUUCAGUUUCAACAUUGGAUAUUGGUGUUGUACCUGAAUCACCCAUGAGGGAUGUCUCAAUUUCCCAUACAAGACCCCCCAAAGGGACGAUUGACCUAUUUUCUGGACCUCCCAUUCAGAUGAUGCCUUCCCACUUUUCUCCAAUGGACAGGGAGGCCAGAGUCCUAAGGUACAGGGAGAAAAAGAAGACAAGAAAAUUUGAGAAGACAAUAAGNNNNNNNNNNNNNNNNNNNNNNNNNNNNNNNNNNNNNNNNNNNNNNNNNNNNNNNNNNNNNNNNNNNNNNNNNNNNNNNNNNNNNNNNNNNNNNNNNNNNAAGAGAACAGAUGUAGAAGCUGAAGUGGAUCAGAUGUUCUCCACAACACUAAUUACAGAAGUUGGAUAUGGCCUUGUUCCCUCUUUCUGAAUAUGAUGUGCUGAACAAAAAUGGCCACAAGACAGAGAAGAAGCUAGAAGAUCGUGAUCAAUAGAAAUGGCAAUGGCAACCACUUAUGUACUAAGUUAUUUUGUUGAUACUGUAUUUUUUAUGUAAUCUAAUUACUCUCAGUUGCACUAAUCGGAUGCUUUAUUAUUUUGUUUACUGUAUUUUGAAUGGAACUUGUAUUUGUAAAUACAGUCCUUGUAUUAAAUUAUUAAAUUAUAGUCAACAUAUCUUUGAUAAAUUUUCAUUUUCUCUAGUUCUAUCAUGGUGUAUCUGUCAUUUCAUUUAGUUGCAAUCACUUCAAUCAAACUAAGUACUCUGGACAGAUAUUUAGGGACCAAAACUAAUUAUCUUCAUCAAACAUCAUUCAGGUGCAUUGAACUUACUGUGGCUUGAGUUUUGGUUUAUAUACUCACGAUCCUGAUCUGGCUACAGUGAAAAAGAGGAUAGAAAGUUGUCGAGUUUAAUAUAAUGCACAUAAUUCCUUUUUCAUUUGUUUGCCUUGGAAGAAGGUCAAAAGCCAAAACUUGUUAAUUAUAUAUUCUUUUCUCCUCUCUUUCUCUUUGUGAUUUCCACUGUUCAUCAUUCCUCUGCAUAGAAUGCUCCUAUAUCAUCAAGAGAAAGAGAUCUUUUGGCAUAUUUGGCUGAAGUGAGAGAAUUCUAUUUUGGAGGAAAAAAUGCAUUUAAAAUCAUUGAUUAGAAACUUAAUGAUUAAGGUUGUAACAAGUUUAGAUUUUUUAUACAUGGAAGUGAAUUUUAUUCUUUAACAUGUAUGUCCUUUAAUUUUGAGAAGCCGAAUAUGCUUUUGUAGCAACACAGCAUAUUCUUAAGAAAAGAUCUUUUUAUCAUGACUCUCCCUGACCAUACAUGGCAAAGUACAUUUGGAAAAAAUCUGCACAAAAUGAUUGAUGAAUUUAUCGCAUACAAAAUGCCCUCUUGAUUAUUUUAGUCUACAGAUAACUGGGAACGAGAGAAGAGAUUGAAGAAAGAAACAAUGAAGUUUUUUACAGUGAAAGUGUGGCUACGGGUUCGGUUAAUGAACAGAACAGGUUGAAGAAAUACCAUGCCAACGCUAUAAAUAUUCAGUAUCUGCUAUUCUAUUUGCUGCACAUAACUAGUGAUAGCAGACAAUAUUCAUUCCUUCCCACAUUNNNNNNNNNNNNNNNNNNNNNNNNNNNNNNNNNNNNNNNNNNNNNNNNNNNNNNNNNNNNNNNNNNNNNNNNNNNNNNNNNNNNNNNNNNNNNNNNNNNNCUGGUGAGUUGAGACAAAUCAGCACCAAAAUUGCAAUAAAACUUUUUCUUUUCUCUUUCUCUGAAAAAGUAAAAUACCUCUGAUUUUAACCUUGUACUCUCUGUUAAGUUAGUUUCUGUUGCGGAAUACGAGGUUCAGUAAAAGGUAAUGCUUUUUUACAUCAAAAGUUUUGGAAAUCAUUCACCUUAAGGUAAGAGUAAUCCUCACCAAUAAAAAAAAUGACAUCAUUCAUUGAAAGCAGUGGUGAUACAAUUUAUUGUUCCUUGUAGAUCUUCCACAUCUAUUUAUAAAUAUAUCUUCACAUUUUAUUUCUGCCACUAUUUGUUUUUCUACCCUCUUAAGGUAUAAAAGUAUCAGAUUAAAGAGAGAAGAAGCCUGUGUUAUAAUAAGUUUCUUAGUAAUUUGUCUUAGUAAGUUUCUUAGUUCAAUCAGUNNNNNNNNNNNNNNNNNNNNNNNNNNNNNNNNNNNNNNNNNNNNNNNNNNNNNNNNNNNNNNNNNNNNNNNNNNNNNNNNNNNNNNNNNNNNNNNNNNNNGUGGUCCUCAAAAAUUGGCUACACUUUUUUUUAUUUUAUGAAAUGGUAUGAGACAGAAGUAGAAUAGUGAACUUGUGGAGGUUGUUGUUACAUAUGUACAAGGAACGAUACCCUUUUGUUUGAUCUGCAUGUCUCACAAACUGCAAAACUCAGACAGGUACACGCACUCACCAAAUUGAUUCUAAAGACGAAAAGAACACCUAUUCCCUUUCCGCUCUUUCUUUUUCUUUUCAGUAAAAUAUUUCCUUGCUUUGAAGAGACAGUUAUGCAAAAACUACCAUCCAGAGACAAUUGAGUUUCAUUGGAUCACAUCCGUAUACGACCGUAUACUUUCAGGUCCAAACAUGCGACUAUAAAUAUAAAUAGACAAGUCCCUUAGAUCAAAUGUGUACUACUAGAUAGUCGAAAAGACCGACAUGACCGAAUGGUUGAGAAGGUUAAUGAUUGUCUUAAUCCAAACACAAACCAUAAAUCCAUGGUUAACAGUAAGUAAUUAAGUCAGUUUGGUGGUAAAAUAUGAUUGAGUCCUCUUUUAGACUCAGAAGCAGACUCAUAAUAGCUGAAGCCCAUCUAAAAGGUAUANNNNNNNNNNNNNNNNNNNNNNNNNNNNNNNNNNNNNNNNNNNNNNNNNNNNNNNNNNNNNNNNNNNNNNNNNNNNNNNNNNNNNNNNNNNNNNNNNNNNNNNNNNNNNNNNNNNNNNNNNNNNNNNNNNNNNNNNNNNNNNNNNNNNNNNNNNNNNNNNNNNNNNNNNNNNNNNNNNNNNNNNNNNNNNNNNNNNNNNNNNNNNNNNNNNNNNNNNNNNNNNNNNNNNNNNNNNNNNNNNNNNNNNNNNNNNNNNNNNNNNNNNNNNNNNNNNNNNNNNNNNNNNNNNNNNNNNNNNNNNNNNNNNNNNNNNNNNNNNNNNNNNNNNNNNNNNNNNNNNNNNNNNNNNNNNNNNNNNNNNNNNNNNNNNNNNNNNNNNNNNNNNNNNNNNNNNNNNNNNNNNNNNNNNNNNNNNNNNNNNNNNNNNNNNNNNNNNNNNNNNNNNNNNNNNNNNNNNNNNNNNNNNNNNNNNNNNNNNNNNNNNNNNNNNNNNNNNNNNNNNNNNNNNNNNNNNNNNNNNNNNNNNNNNNNNNNNNNNNNNNNNNNNNNNNNNNNNNNNNNNNNNNNNNNNNNNNNNNNNNNNNNNNNNNNNNNNNNNNNNNNNNNNNNNNNNNNNNNNNNNNNNNNNNNNNNNNNNNNNNNNNNNNNNNNNNNNNNNNNNNNNNNNNNNNNNNNNNNNNNNNNNNNNNNNNNNNNNNNNNNNNNNNNNNNNNNNNNNNNUUAUGGAGGAAAGACAUGAACAAAGAAAAACAAGCCCACAAAGGGUGUUGUUGUUUUCUUUUUACUUUACAAAAAAAAUAAAGUGAGUGAAGAUCUCACCUUUUCAAACUGAUUUUGUUUCAUGUUUUCCAAAAUUAUAUUAUAACACUUUCAUUUGUGAUUUAUAUUUUAAUGGAUUUGUAUCAUAGAACUCCUUUUUAUAAACUAUUGAAAAUUUAAUUGAAUAUAAUCUUAAGAAAACCCUAAUAAUUAUAAUUAAGUAUAUAAUUUGGUUUGGUUGAUCGAGUAAGAUCUAAAUUAGAUACUAUUUUAAAGACUACAAAUUUUUUGCUAUCUAAAAUAUUUUAUAUCAUUAAUAAAAAUUUAUAAAUUGGUAUCUAGAUUAGUUAUCAAAGUUUUAGUUAUUAAUAUUUUAGUUUAUAAAUUACUCUAUAAAAGACUAAUAGAGACUAAUUUAAAAUAUGUAGUAAAUAGUUAAAAAAAUUGGUAGUUAAUAGUUAGAUACGGUUUAUCAACUAUUUUAUAAAUUUUUAUUAAUAAUAAAAAUUACUUUACAUAAAAAAAAUUAGUUUAUAAAAUGUUUUCUAUUUUAGUUAAACAAUAACUAAUUAUUUUGAUAUUGUAGUUUUUAUUUAGUGAUUUUAUUUUAAUUGAGUUAGUGUGAACUUCCUUUACAUGUGUUCAAUUCCUAUAAUCCAAUGCACCCUAUGCUUGUUUGUAUUUUCAUCUUAAUUAAUGUCAUAAAUUGAUGGAAAUUAUAAAACUUGGAGGCUUCAAUAAUUUACAUUUUUUUUUGCUAAUUGUACUAAACUUUCAAUUAUUUUAUUUAAAAUGAUCUAUUGGCACUUAUUUUCUCUUUCUUAAUUCCAAUUUUGGAGAGUAUUUUUAAUAAUNNNNNNNNNNNNNNNNNNNNNNNNNNNNNNNNNNNNNNNNNNNNNNNNNNNNNNNNNNNNNNNNNNNNNNNNNNNNNNNNNNNNNNNNNNNNNNNNNNNNUCUAGCAUCUCUAGUUUCUUUUAGCACUUCCAUAUUUUCAAAAAUAUUGAAAUUGUUCAUUUUGUAUUUCAAAUUAUGAAAUUCAAAAUACAAAAUUUGCAUUUCAAAUUGUACAAUUCGAAAUAUAAUGUAUUUCGAAUUCUAGAAUCCAAAACACAAAAUUUGUAUUAUGGAUUGUUGAGUUUGGAAUAAAAAAGUUGUUUUCCAAUUUUAGAUUUCGGAAUACAAUUUUUGUAUUUUAAAUUCUAGAAUCUAGAAUACAAUUUUUUCUUCAGACGGUGAAGGUAAGGAGUUGCUGCGAUAAUGGCCCUGGACGUGUGAGGUGAUGUGGUAGUGGCGUUGGAGGUGGGGGCUACUACGACAGUGGCACUAGAGGUGGGAGUUGUUGUGGCUGUGAAAGUUGGAGGUGAAGGUUGUUGUUGUAGUGGAAGUUGGAGGUGGGUGUUCAAUGGAGAAGAUGACGAAGAUGGAAAAAUUAUAAUUUCACUUUUUCUAUGGAGGUACAAGAAGAAGUCAUAGAGGUGCAGGAAAAAAUUUUCCGAAAAGGACUAGUGAUGGGCUUCCAUUGAACAUGUUGGCUAGUAAUUAGGCUUUGCUCACAACAUUGACUGUUUCUUCCUGCACCUCCAUAUCUUCUUCUGACACCUCCAUACACAACAUGAAAAUACAAUUUUAUCCUUCUUGCGCCACCCCCAUAUAAUAGCUUCCGGAUUAUGUAAUCCGGAAACGCAUUUAAAAAAUACUUCCGGAUUAUGUAAUCUGGAAAGUAAUCAUGCAUAUGAAAAAAGACUUCUGGAUUAUAUAAUCCGGAAGCUAAUUACAAAUUUGAAAAAUGACUUCCGGAUUAUGUAAUCCAGAAUAUUACAGAGGGACAUUUUUGGAAAUACAAAAAUCUAUGGAGGUGAGAGAAGAAGGUAUGGAGGUGCAGGAAGAAGCAGCCCACAACAUUUGGUAAUGGACUAUGCUAUUUUCGACCAAAUGUUUGUUAUUUUGACUCCAUAUUUUGUUUAUUUUUCAAAAAAUAUCCUUAACAAAAUGGUUUUUAUAUUGCAUAAUAUACACAAUAAAAAUAUGUUGUCCAUUAAGUUAGGGUGCACCCAACACAACAAGCAUAUAACCAAGUUAGAUAGACUCAUUUAUUUAUAGACUAGUUAUAACCAUAACUAAAUACAUAAAAGAAAAAAAAAUUUAAUUAACAAAACAAUCACAAUAACAAUGAGUAGACAAUGACGCUUCAAACGAUAGUUGAUUUCUAUCAUACGCACCAACCAGAUGAUGUCAUUAGAUAAUCCACAAAAUCAAAGAAGUGACAAUGCAAAACUUAACACCUUAUUUAUUUCCUUUAAAAUUUGAAGUUCCAUCUUAAAAGUACAUGUUGAAUUUUAGUUUAUGUUUUUCUUAAAGGGUGUUAAUUCUGCCACGAAGUCAUUUAUAACUUUAGUCUUGAUUGACCUCCAAGCUUCAUAACCAAGCUCAUACUUUGACAUUUCUAGUGUAUGUUUCAAGAUUCUUUCAAACAAAUUAAUCUUCUAAAGCACUUUCUUUAUAAGUAAGUCAAUUUUACUAUAUUAUGAAAGCUCUAAAAAUAAUACCUUAAUUUAACUCUUUGUAGUUGUGAGGAUUGUUAACAUUGCUUUUUCGAUCUUUUGGUACCUUAAUUUAAUUCUUUGUACAAUGCAACUAACAAACUAUACCGAAUUUGUUCACUUGAUAUUUCAUGUACAAAGGCAAGUUAAUUGCUCGAUCUAUUACUGUUAAAUAAAGAAAUAAGGAGUUCGAAUUUACUAGUUUGGCUAAGAGUGGGGGAAUGUGACAAUUUCUCUUUUAGCUUCACAAAUGCUUGUUCGUAUUCUUCUAUCGAAACAAAACAUUGUUUUUUUUUUCAGAUACUAGAAAUUAGUGAAAAUUUUAUCCCCCAACAUUGACAAGAAUCUAAAAAAGGAAGUCAGUUGAUAUGUGAAUUAAUCUCAAUAUGUCUUUACUCCAAAAGUGCACAUUUAUCUUAAUUAAAAUUCAAUAAGUAUUUAUUGAUUGUCUCAAAUAGAUCCUUGAGGGAUCAAUUGUAUGACGAGUUUUUGUUGUCGAUUUUUCUAUCAAUAGUAUAUACUUUGACAUUCCAAUUUAUCAUGUUUUGUAGGAUUUUUUCCAAUAACCUUUGGUAGGUGGACUAUUCGUUUUUAGGAUGAAAUGCAUCACCUUAUGUUAAAUAAUUGUAAUUUCUACCACGAAAAUUGUCUUGUUUUUAUUCAACAGGUACAUUCAGAUUAAAUUGUAUCAUAAAUAUAUAUCCAUAAAACUUGGUAGUUCACAUUUCAUAGCACCAUCUACCAAACAAUCAAUAUUGGCAUUGAAUACAUCAUAACCAAUAUAGAAUAUCACAUCCUAAACGAGUUUUGUUGUUCAUUCUCUUGUAAUUGUAUUGAAAACACCCAAAAUUGGUACUUCAUGGUCUUUACUAUAAUCAAUCUUUCUCGGUGGUCUCUAUUAGCUUUUGGUUUUUCUCCCUCAUCCAUCUUUGAUAGGUUUCCAAGAACCCUAAAGAUAUGUUACCAACUUUUCAAUAUACUUGAUUAGCAAAAGACAUUAUCUAUAUUAUGUCCAUAUGUUCCAUGAAAAUGACACCAUGUGUUAUUAUCACCUUUUUCUACCUUCAAGUUCUAUUUGAAAAAUUAAAUGACUUGUUGUAUUUACAUCCUUUAAAAAAUUCCUUCAUGAAGCACAUUCAAUUAGGUGAGCUCAAAAUCGUUCUUCUUUUCUUUGAGAUGGCGAGACUCAUACAACUAAAAAUGCAUGUUCUCGAUUUUCGCCUGAGUUCCUUCAAUUCUUCACAUCCAACUUUUUUGUUUCCUCAUACGAGGGACCUUUGAUAGUACCAUAGUUACUUUCUUUUUUUAUCCUCUAUUUGUUUUCUUGCCUUGACUUCGUCAACUUGAUUUGGGAAGUCACUCUUGAUCUUAACAUUGUGACAUUUUUAGGCUUUUUCUAUAUUAUUGAUUCAUCAAAUUGGCUAACACGGAAACCCUUUAUAAAGACAUCACAAAUAUCUUUUCGUUUGGUUGGAAAAUUUGUAAACUGACUCCAUCUAAGCUGCAUCUUCAAAGAUUUCUCUCAUCGUUGAUUUAUAUCAAACAAAUCUCCAAUCUUGGGUGAUUUUUCCAUGUUUGUCCAAACUAGGUCAAGAAUAAUUUUGAAAGUACCUGAAAAGUUGAGAAAAAAUCAUUAAGGAAACUAGUGAACUAUCCAAUGGAGGGUUUGCUAAUGUUCCAAUGAAUUUUUACUUGGACACCUUCCAAUUUCGCUCAAAUAAAUAUAUUGACACUAAUAUUUAACAUGAGAAUUGACUCCUUUUAAAUAAGCAAACAUUUGGCGUCACAUAAGAUAACGAGGCUUUCAACCUUUGUUGCAACUUCUUGGUGUUUUUGUUGAAGCUACUCUUGUUCCCAAAGAAAUCUUUCAUUGGGCAAUGAGACUCUUCACCUUCCCUUGUUAACUCCUCUCUUGAACACGUUAAAAAUUUUGUGUGUGUUAUUUUGCUUCUUCAUUUUGCUUAUAAAGAUCAUUCAUCAUUAACAUAAAAAUUUUAAAAAAUUAGAAGGUCGUCGCUAUGAUAUCUUUUUGUCUUUCUUUUAAUAUUUUCUUUCAUAUUAAUACGAUUAUGAUUUCCAAAAUGCGAUGAAGAAAAAUGCAGUGGCACCAAGAGUAUACACGCGAUCGGUGGUGAGCAAGAGAAAAAGGAAAAACGAACGUGAAGUACACGGGAAAGAGUGCAGAGAAAUAAAAUGGAAGUGUAAAGUAGAAAACGAUAUUGUAUUAUUAUUAUUGUUGUGUGAAUAAGGUACAUAAAAGGUAAUAUAAAGGAAAAUGAAAAGAAACAAAAGAGGCAUGGGCUAAAAGAAUAAGGCCCAGAGAAAAAAGGGUUACAUAAAGUCAAAAUAGAGCCUAAGAAGCCCAACAAUAAGAUUAACACUCUCCCUCAAGAUGGGAAUAUAUAAUCUUUAUUCCCAGCUCGGACUUAAGAUUUUUGAAAACAGCAGGGGAUAGGGUUUAAUUAGAAUAAGAAAUAGGAAGCAAUUUGAGGAAACCGGUAUUAAGUUUUUCUCUUACAAUAUGACAAUCGAUCUUAAUGUGUUUGGUUCUCUCGUGGAAAACCUGGUUGGAUGCGAUUUGAAUGGAUGACUGAUUAUCGCAGUAGAGAGUGGCUGGUGAAGUGAAGAUGAGACCAAGGUCUUGAAGAAUGUAAGUUAACCACUGAAGCUCACAAGUAGUAGUUGCUAGAGCUCUAUAUUCUGCUUCAGAUGAUCUCUUAGAAAUUGUUUGUUACUUCUUGGAUUUCCAGGAGAUCAAAGACUCGCCCAAAAAAUUAGAGAAACCAAUUAUAGAUUUUCGAGAGUCAGGACAAGUGGCCCAAUCUGAGUCACUAUAAGCUUUUAAAUGAAUAGGACUACUGCUAGAAAGAAAAAUACCAGAACCAGGGUUGCUUUUGAGAUACCUUAAUAUUCUGAAAGCAGCUUGUUGAUGAAACUUAGUGGGUACAGAAACAAAUUGACUGAGAUUGUUAACGCUAAAGGUAAUGUCAGGUCUAGUGUUUGUAAGGUAGAUUAAUCGCCCAAUAAGUCUAUGGUAUGUUGAGGUUUCGUCUUCAUUGAGAGGAAUACCUUCAGUUAACGAGAGGCGGGAAGAAUCCGUCAUAGGUGUAGGCAUAGGUGCACAGUCUUGCAUACUCGUUUCACGAAGAAGAUCAAUAGUGUAUUUUUGUUGACUAAGAUGAAUUCCAAAACUGUUGCGGCCUACCUCGAGGCUUAAGAAGUAGGUAAGAUCGCCCAAAUUCUUGAUCUUGAAGAUCUGGUCCAGCAUGUUGGUUAUAUUGAGAAUCUCAGCACGAUCAUUCCCAAUAAGCACAAUAUCAUCCACAUAAACAAGAAUAAUAGUAAUGUUAGUGUCAUGACGUUUUAAGAAUAAAGAAUGAUCAGUAGAGGAUAAAAUGUAGUUUUGUGAAAUUAAGAAAGUUGACAACUUUUCAUACCAUUGUCUUCCAGUUUGCUUAAGGCCAUAGAGCGACCGCUGAAGUUUGCAAACACUAUUGCUAGGAAGAAGAAGCCCAGGGGAAGGUUGCAUGUAAACCUCUUCAUACAAGUCUCCAUGUAGCAAUGCGUUAUUAACAUCCAAUUGUGUAAGAGACCAGUUAUGAGCAACAACAAGAGCAAGAAGGAGACGGAGAGUAGUUAAUUUUGCAAUUGGUGCAAAGGUAUCCAAGAAAUCAAGACCUUCCAACUAAGUCUAACAUUUGGCAACCAAGCGUGCCUUGUAACGAUCUACAGUCCCAUCUAAAUUGUACUUAAUUUUAUAAAUCCAUCUACAACCAAUAGUCUUCUUACCAGAUGGAAGGGAAGUAAUUUGCCGUGUUUGAUUGACGUCAAGAGCAUCUAAUUCAGCUUUCAUUGCUUGCUGCCAACAGGUUUGUUUGGAGGCUUCAUUAUAGUUGCGUGGCUCCAUAUGGGAUGAAACAUAAAGAAUCAUAUGCUUAAAACUAGGUAAUAAAGCAUGGUAUGAAACAUAAUUGAUAAGGGGAUAGUGAGAACUUACAUUGUAUACAACUGGUAAAUCAGUUUGAAAAUCUUCUAAAUAAGCUAGAGGUCUCCUUGACAUUGUUGAACGCCAAGGGGGAGGAUCAACAACAUUUUCAACAUUGGUGGUGGUAGUAGUUUCAGCAGUAUAAGGUGUAGUGGAAAAAAAGAGAUCACAUUUUGAAUCAUAAUUGGGAGGAAAAGGUAAUGACAAAUUAUUUAGACUCUGUUGAACAUUAGUAGUCAAUUGAUAUGGAAAAUUAGUUUCAUGAAAAAUAACAUGCCUUGAAACCUCAAUUUUAUGAUUUUUAAGAUUAAGAAAAAUAUAACCUUUGGUGUGAUGAUGGAAACCAAGAAAAACACCAUGAACAGAACGUGGAUCUAAUUUCUUUCUAUGUGAAGUGAGAGUGUUAGAGUAACAUAAACACCCAAAAACACAUAAAUUUGAAAGAUCACAGAGAUUACCAUUUAAUUUUUCAUAAGGAGAAAUUUUUUCUAAAAGGGGAGUAGGAGUACAAUUAAUUAAGAAAGUUGCAUGUUGUACAACAAAGUUCCAAAACAAGUGAGGUAAAUGAGCUUGAAAAAGUAAGGCACGAGUCACAUUUAAAAGAUGUUGAUGUUUGCGUUCAAUAAUGCCAUUUUGUUCAGGAGUUUCAACACAGUUGGUUUGAUGAACUAUACCUUUAGCAGAAAAAAAAAAUCUUUCAUAGCAAAUUCAGCACCAUUAUCAGUUCUAAUAGUUUAAAUAGUAGUUUUAAAGUGGUUUUCAAUAUAAGCAACAAAACUAAUUAUAUGAUUACAAACUUCAGAUUUGUUGGACAAAGAAAUUGUCCAUGUAAAGCAAGAGAAAUCAUUCACAAUAGUUAAAAAAUAACGGAAACCUUGCAUGGAAAUAACAUAACAUUGACCUCAACUCAAAAGAUUUUGAAGAUCAGGAACUGCUUAAAGUAAAAGGAAGCUUUUUUUGUUCGGCAAGAUGACAAGUAUCACAAACAUCAAACUUCUUAGCAGAAAUAUAAGGGUAUUUAGUGCUCAAAACAAUCAAUCUUUCAUUUGAAACAUGCCUCAUUCUAUGAUGCUACGAAUUUAUGUCCUUAACAGUACAAUGUAAAACAGAAACAAUAUGAGGUGUAGCAGUAUUUUUAAAAGUAGAAUGUUCAAAAACAUACAACCCGGCUCUAGCAUCAACUAAACCAAUCCUCUAUAUGGUUUGAGUGUCCUGUAUCACACAGUUUAUGGAUGAAAAAAAAAAUUGUAGUUAAGAUUAAAACACAAUCUAGAGGUGGAAAUCAAAUUAAAAGCAAAUUGGGGAAUAUACAGAACAUCAAUAAGGUAGAAUUUGAGAUUAAAGACAAUAAUGCCAGAAAUUUUAGCAAAAACAUUUUGGCCAUUUGGUAAACUAAUUUGAACAUAUGUUAUACUUUUAUACAUAUUAAAAGCAGAUAAAGAGGUGCAAACAUGAUCUAUUACCCCUGAAUCUAUAAUCCAGUAAUUUCUAGUUUUCUUUACACUAUUGAAAGCAUAAAUGUUACCCAUGGGAGAUUAGUUUGUUGCUUUGUGAGUGAGAUCAGUAGUGAAGGAUCCCACCUGGUUCAUAUGAGCUGGAUUUACUGGAUUGUUGCAGGAAUGUUGCCUGAACAAUUCGAAUAACACUUGAUAUUGUUGUCCAAUGAGGUGAAAAUCUCUAUUUUCCUGUUUCUUUUGAGAAUGCUCAGAAACAACUUCACCAGUAGUAACAACAUUAUUAACUUGACCAAUUUUACCAUUAUAGAAUUACUGGUAUAAAUGUUUUUUGUAACAAGUGUCAACCGUAUGACCAUUUCUACCACAGUGAGUACAUGUUUUUAUGUUAUUUUUAUAAGUUCUAUUAUCUUGUCCAGGAAAAUCAACCUUACGAAAACACACAUUCUUAGUGUGGCCAUUUUUUUCCACAAAAGGUGCAAACACCAAGAACAUUAUUUCGAUUGGAAUUAACACUAUUAAUAUUGGUCACGGAGAAGUUGUUAGCCAAUUAACGUUCAUGUUGAGCCACCAAAGAAAAAAUCUUGGAAAUGGGUGGUAUAGGUUCCAUUAAAAGGACAUGAGAUUUGAUGUUAUGAUAUUGUUCAUUUAACCCACGCAAGAAUUGCAUAGCCUGAUCCUCACAUUUUCUUUGACUAAUAAUCGAAGCAACAAAGCAAGUACAUUUUGUUUGACUGACACACACAGGAUAAGGUCUGAAAUUGUCUAGUUCAUCCCAAAUGAUUCUAAGUUUAGUAAAAUAUUUUGUAACCGAUAAAUCUCCUUGACUUAAAGAGACUACUUCAUAUUGCAAGUCAGAAAUUCUAGAAAGAUCUCCUUGAGAAUAUCUAGUUUUUAAAUCAAUCCAAACAUCUAUGACCAUAUCCAUCCAUAUUAUACUCUGUCUAAUAGGAGUAGAGACAGAAUGCACUAACCAAAAAACAACCAUGUUGUUACACCUUUGCCAAGCCGAAUACGUUAGAUGGUUCUUGGUUGGGCAAGGAUGUGAACCCAGAAUGAACUCCACUUUGUUCUUCACACUCAACGCCGUCACCACUGAUCUGCUCCAAGAAUGAUAGUUUGUAGGGUCAAGCAUCAGUGACACCAAGGGGGCAACAGGAUUUUCAUUGGGAUGUAGGUAAAGAAAACUAUUCACAACAAAUAAAAUGGCUCUCUUGAUCGGAUUGUUUUUGUUGUUCUGAAUCUUCUUUCGCCAUACCUAAAUAAAAAAAUAAAGAAAGAAAUUAGGGCAAGAAAACAAGAAAUCAAUUAAGAGAAAGAAAUUUCAGAGUGCACAACAGAGAUCUUCAAAAAGGAGAGCUUUGAUACCAUAAUACGAUUAUGAUUUCCAAAACGCGAUGAAGAAAAAUGCAGCGACACCAAAAGUAUACACGCGAUCGGUGGUGAGCAAGAGAAAAAGGAAAAACGAAAGUGAAGAACACGGGAAAAAGUGCGAGAAAUAAAAUGGAAGGGUAAAGUAGAAAGCGAUAUUGUAUUAUUAUUACUGUUGUGUGAAUAAGGUAAAAAAAAAGGUAAUAUAAAGAAAAAUGAAAGGAAACCCAAAGAGGCAUGAGCUAAAAGAAUAAGCCCAGAAAAAAAGGGUUACACAAAGUAAAAAUAGGACCUAAGAAGCCCAACAAUAAGAUUAACACAUACUAUAAAUUGAGGCUUCUUCAUCCUACACCCCCACGUUUUUCUUCCUGCACCCCAUAAUUUUAAAUAUUCCAACAUUAACCUUGACCUAUAAUUUCAAAAGGGGCUACCAGAUAUCGGGAUCCGGUAAUAUAUUCUGGAUUCAUGAAUCCGGAAUUGAUUAAAUUGUGUUUUCCGAAUAAGGGGGUGUUCUGGAAGAUAAAAGGUCAUAAAUUGUUGUUUUCCAGAAUGCUGAAUCCAGAAGCCUAAAUUGCAUUACGGAUUGGUGGAUCCGAAAUUGUUUUUUUGUGUUAUGGAUUCUUGAAUCCGUAAUGCAUCACUUGCAUUAUGGAUUUCUGAAUCCAUAAUCGUUUUUUUGUGUUAUGGAUUCCUGAAUCCGGAAUAAUCUUUUUGAAUUAUGGAUAGUUGGAUCCAGAAUAAUGUUUUUGACUUAUGGAUUCAAGGAUUCGAAAUGCAAUGAUUUUGUUUCAUUUCUUUUAUUUGUAGAAGCAUGGACAGUAUUGAUGAAUUUGAACAAGAAUUAUAUGAUGGAGUUGAUUUGUGGGAUGAUGAUGAUAUUGAGAAGUCAUUAUCCAUGUUCUUCAUGUUUUUCAUCUUCAUUAACAUAUCUUCUUCUAACAGAGAUUGUGGGACGUAGACGAUCACCUUGUGAACCUCCUCCCCUAGUUUUCACCAUUACUAUUCAAUUACACCAUUCAAGUUAAACCAAAUUACAAACUAAUGAAUAAGAUAUUGAACCAAUACAAACAAAAAACAGCAAAUAUAAAAUUCUAUUGAAAUCAAAAGAGAGAAAAAAGGCAUUGUAUCAUUUCUACUAAACAAAUAUAAAUAAACUAUAGACAAAAAAAAUAUUAAAAGAAGAAAAAAGGAAUAUAAUUGCGAAUCAUAUUUGAAGAUAGAAAAAAAUAUUUUGAUGAAGUUUUAUAUGUUGCAGAACCCAAGUAGUUAAUAAUUUGAUUUGCUAUCUGUAUAGAAACCAGAACUAAAAUUCAGGAAAGAUAUGUUAUUCACAGUAGAUGGUUUGAACUCUAAAGGAUUAUUCCACUGCUCUAGUUGAUUGUUUGACCAUCUAAUUUCAACAUUUUUAACCUCAAGCCCUUCAAUGUGCUCCAUCAUUAUGCCCGCAGUCCUGUGUUUAACUAACUCUUGGCAUCCUGGCCUGUAGUCCAAUAACCCACCAGCAUAAUUAGUGAACCUUCUAUAUGUAACGUCCAUGUUGAUGAAUCUCAAAUUUCUAAGCAAUCCUCUCUUUGAACCAGAUAGAAAGAUGCCAUUUUCAGAAUUUGCAGUGAUGUUAAUGAAAAAUACAUCAGAGAUUGAAGCCUCCUUUGAGGCUGAGUUUCGUGGGCAACUCGUGACAUAGAUGGGCUCUGCUCUCCCCCACCAUAACGGGUCAUAAUAUCUUGUGCUGAUAUUAAUGUUUGAGAAUACAAUGUCACUUACAUUUCCUGUACGAGGAAGUUGAAAGCAUUUCAAAAAUAUGUUUUAAGGCUAGACUUUUGUUGACGCAAGCAAGGAUGAAAAGCGUACUGAUUAAUCAGGCUCAAUAAAAGUGAGGCUUACCAGGCCAAAACACAAUAUAUAAAACUGUUCAAGGGAAAAUAUACUGUGAUGUGACACAUUGUUUCCAACACUUGCUAUUGUUGAAAAGAGUAGGGGAACAAUAAAUGGGACUCGGGACGCAUAAAUUACAGUCAAUAACAAAAAAGGUGUGAGAAAGAGUAUAUCAAAAGAAUGUAUCAUUAUCUUUCCUCAAAUGUUCAAUAACAAAUGAAGAAUAUGUUUGACGAGAAAUAUUUACAUCUGUUAGAAAUUAUUGUUUCAUAAUGAACCAAGUUAGCGUGUUAGAUACAUGUUUUAGAUUCAACAUUCUGGGCUAAGAAAAAAAAUUCACAUAACAAAGCAAUAGUUUGUGAUGUAAUCAUUCAUCGGGAGAUAAGUGAGAAGAAACAUGUUACCUCCAUCACGGAUCUGGAAUCCAAUCCCUCUAUGAGAAUCAACAAUAGUGAUAUUAUCAAACACAAAGUGCUUGAAAUCAAACCAACUAGCACUGCCAAGUUUAAUUGCAGAAGAUUUGGAUCGAAUCCAACAGUCAGUGACUGUAAGGUUGUGAACAGGACCUGUGUAUGACUUUGGACAGAUUGCAUCAUCCCCAGUAUCGAUGUGGCAUCGAGUGAUUACUGUGUUGUUUGAGUCCUCAAUGUCAAUCCCAUCAUUGUUUGGUAUGUUGAAGUCCCCAUUAAUUGCAAUAUCUUUAAUGGAUAUGUUAUUACUCCGCACCAAGUGUAAACUGCAAGGUAGUAAAUUGCAAUAUCUUUAAUAGAGAAUCAAGCCUUUUCUCAACAUGGAGUUGUCUCAUUAGAUCAACCUUCCGCUCUAACAAAAUUAGGGUUUCAGUUCUCAAUUAUUGGAACAAGAAAUAACAUAUAGCCCCUUCAACCUUUUUCAUUCCUUCAGCAUUUAAAAGUUUAGCAUAAUAUGACUACUCUAAUUGCAUUGUUUAUGGUCAAAUAAAAACAGUAAUAACUUGUAGAAAAUGAUUUGUUAUGGGACCCAGACUUCACACGUUUAUCACUCAAACUCGAAUCGCUCUUGCGUGUAGAUAAACUACGAAGUUCCAGAAAACAACUCAGUGAGCCCACCAGUAUAAGAAGUCAUCAUCCACAAGUGAUAUCAAUCCACUCCAACCAAAUUGCCACUUCAGAAUCAAAUCCUCUGCCGAUGCCUUUUAUGAAAUAAUCACUAAUGACAUUCUAACACUUCUCCCAUCCCCAAAAUAAAUUCUCAUUUAUUUCUAGUAAAACCCCUAACCUUCCGUCACAUCCAAUUAAAACAAAACAAAACAAAACAAAAUCAUUUUACUCUCAUCUAAUAAUCACAAUAAACUUUUUGACUUUUACAUUUUUUUAAGUUAUACCCAUUUCUGAUUGGUCUAAUUUGAACAGAAAUUAAAAUCUUACUUUAAUUCUUUCUUUUUCAUAAUACUCUAAUUUCAUCCUUAUCCUUAUGUCCUCAAAAAGCUUCAAACAUACAAAGAAAAAUUGAAAGCAUAAAUACAAUAACUUUAAUUGAAUCCUUAAUUUUAUCUAUAUUUAUUUUUAUAUUUUUAUAUUUUAAUUAAUUAAAACAUCUUGUUAUUACAGCUUUAAUAAAACAUUCAAAAUAAAAUAUAAAAUUGUAACCAAUAAGCAUACUUUAAAAUGAUAAAAAAUGAGCAUUGAAAAAAAAGAGAAAUGCAUGAGUUAGUGGUAAUACUCACCACCAAUAAGCAGGAUGGUUAAGAGUGAUGUUAGAAACUUCAACAUUGUUGCAACCAAUGAAUCCAAUGAGUCUAGGUCUGCAUUCGUCUCCUAAGCAAGCCCCAGUUUGGUUCCAACUAACCAUCACGUUCUUCCUCGGAUCUUCCCUCACUACGAAUUUAGAAGCCUGACCAUCCACCACUCCACCGCCGCGGAUUCCCACGUCCGUCGCAUUCUCCGCCACCGCCACGUACCACCGCAACGACUCCUUCGGGUAGUCCUCCAGCCUGGAGCCGCCCAGGAUGGUGGCACCAGGCUCCACGACCAGCACCACGCCGGAUUUCAGGAAUACGGUGGCCGUCAGGUAUUUUCCCGGCGCCGGGAAGAUGACGUGGCAGGGACCGCCCUCCGGACAGGAGUUGAUGGCCGACUGGAUAGGUUCGGUGUCGUAGCUGCUGGCGUCACCGGCGGCGCCGAAGUCGGCGACGGAGAGCGUGAUUAAGAUCGGGUUUGGAGGUGAUGAGGUGGCGAGAAGAGAUUGGGUGAGAAGGAAGAAUAGAAGGAAGAUGAGUUGGUUGUUCAUUGUAGGAUUCUGACUCUUCUCUGACACUACGUGUUCUCUACCUAUAUACCAGCGGAAUUAAUAGCCACUAUUUUUGCUUUUCAAUUUAAAGUACUUUUUUAAAAUAUUUUCAAUUUUAACAUUAAAAAAAAUAACUUGGUUUUGUUAAAUUCAAUUUUUCACUAGGUUUCAUUAUGUAAAAGAAUGAAAGUUAUGAUAUAUUUAAUUUGACUUGGACUCAAGUUUAACGUAAAUUGGCCACGUCUAAAUUUACUUUAAAUAAUUUUAAACUUUUCACAUCUUAAAUAUAAAUAUAAGACACGUCAAACAAAAUGUUCUGAGACUCCUAGCAUCAAAUUAAUUUUUAUUAAGACAAUUAUGAUUUAUAUAUUUUAAUUUUACUAUCUUUAUUUUAUAUAUUAUGGAAAAAAAGUGGUAAAUACCUCCCAAAUAGAUUGAAUUUUUUACACUUACAAAAGUAUUUUCCAUAAUGUUAAAAUUUGUGUACAUUCACAAAGGAUUUUUUAAUGAUGAAAUUUCAAUCUCGAAAAUAACCUUUUAGAAAACCAACUUUUAGGAUUAAAAAAAAUGGACAUCAAUUGCCUUUAAAUUGCUCUGUAUUUACUAUAAUUGAAAUUGUAUUAUAGUAGGUUUUUAAAUUAUUUAUUUUGAGAAUAUUUUGAAUUUUUAAGAUUAAAGAAUAGUUGGGUUUGUUAAACUCGAUAUUUUACUAAAAGAAUGGAUGAAAGUUAUAGUACAUAUUUGAUUUGGUAUUAACGUAAGUGCAUAAUUACAUGUCAACUAAAAUUAUUUUAAAUAAUUUCAGUUCUCAGUUAUGUAAAAUGUAAAUGAGACUGCAAAUAUCAAAUAAGAAACUUUGAUAUUCCAAACAUCAAAUCAAUUAUGCAUGUAGAUAUUAUACUAUGCCUACAAAAUUAUCACAGGCUUAAUAACACUUUAUAGAUCUGUUUAAUUUUGAUUCUUUGUUGAUAGUUGUCUAAACAAAAUCCUUAUAAGUUUCCAUUUUUUUUAAACUUAAAUCUUUCGUCUGAAAUUUCAUGUAAUAGUAGAGAUGCAUUUGAAGUAUAAUAAUUUAUAUAUUCACAAAAGAAAAAUUAUAUAAUGUUUAAAUAAAAAUAAUAAAAUCUAGGUUUCAUUAUAGUUUAAUAGUUUACAUAUUUUCUUCUAAUUUAUACAAAUCGUAAUAUAUUAUACUUCCAUUGAGCCAUUAAAAUCAAAAGAAACGAAACCACACAUAACAAAAGGAUCAAAAGUAAAAUUAAAUCGAAGUAUAAAAGGAAGUGGUUUCACCAGAGUCUAAGUCAACAUUAGAUUCAAGCCAAAAGACGAGGAUCGGAGGAAUACUAGUUCUGUAGGUUCUGCUGACCCGAAUGUAGAGUAGAGAACCUUCAGAAAAAUGAGACAGCAAUGUCAUUAAAAAACUAAUGAUAAUCUUUAUAUACUGUUAUACUUGAAUAGCAAUAUUAUCUUUGAACAAAGACAAUAAAAAAUAUUCUUACUUUAAAACAUUUGACAAUAUUUUUUACAUGCUGAGAAAAAAACAUUUGCCAACAUUGAAAUCCACUUCAGCAUAAGCUACUGAGUGUAGCUUCUGUGUUUAGCUCUAAAUAUGACGUAAAAAGUUAGCAAGACCUACGUUGACAACAUGUGUCCAGUAUUACUCGUUUCUGUUAUCAGUGCUAGCAUGAUCUACAUCUUUUCACGGUUCUGCUCUGGACUCCAUCUGGUUAUUGUGCACUCUUCAACGGUAUAGUUUGCAAGACAUAAUGGAGAUUCGUUGUUGUUACCAAUUUUAUUGACAUGUAGAACCAGUAAGAUUUUUGCAACACUUCCAACAAGUCGAGUUGUGCAAUGAAUAUCAGACCAUACUCUCAGUCUUCCAUUCAGAUCUUUAUCUUCCCCAUCUGAUAAAACAAGCACACCAUACUCAGAAUGGACCCGAGAUGGAUGAUGUCGAUAGAUAACAAAGUCUACACCAUACUG
rnacentral:lncRNA from 1 species